AUGGCGGUCCCCGGAGCGCGCGGCGCGAGUCUCUCGGGUCUUCUGCCCGCGCAGACCUCUCUAGAGUACGCCCUGCUGGACGCCGUCACCCAGCAGGAGAAGGAUGACCUGGUCUAUCAGUAUCUGCAGAAGGUGGACGGCUGGGAGCAGGACCUAGCGGUGCCUGAGUUUCCGGAAGGACUAGAAUGGCUGAAUACAGAAGAGCCUUUGUCGAUUUACAGAGACCUGUGUGGGAAAGUGGUCAUCCUCGACUUCUUCACUUACUGCUGCAUCAACUGCAUCCAUGUGCUGCCCGAUCUCCACGCCCUGGAGCGCACGUUCUCUGACACAGAUGGCCUUCUGAUUGUCGGUGUUCACUCAGCUAAGUUUCCAAAUGAAAAGGUCCUGGACAACAUCAAGAGUGCUGUCCUUCGGUACAACAUCACCCACCCUGUGGUUAACGACACAGAUGCUAGCCUUUGGCAGGAGCUUGAAGUCUCCUGCUGGCCAACACUGGUCAUACUGGGACCCCGUGGAAACCUGCUGUUUUCUUUGAUUGGAGAGGGUCACAAAGAUAAACUGUUUUCAUAUACAUCUAUUGCUUUAAAGUAUUACAAAGACAGAGGACAGAUCAGAGAUGGAAAAAUUGGGAUAAAACUCUUUAAAGAGUCUUUGCCGCCUUCACCAUUGCUGUUCCCUGGCAAAGUAGCCGCAGACCCUACUACUGGUCGGCUGGUGGUAGCAGACACCGGGCACCACAGGAUCUUGGUUCUUCAGAAGAACGGGCAGAUUCAGUACAGUAUUGGAGGACCUAAUCCUGGAAGGAAAGAUGGGGUGUUUUCAGAGUCGUCUUUUCAUUCUCCACAGGGUGUAGCUAUCGCAGAUAAUGUCAUCUAUGUGGCCGACACUGAAAACCACCUUAUAAGAAAGAUAGACUUAGAAGCUGAGAAGGUGAGCACUGUAGCUGGCAUCGGUGUUCAAGGGACAGAUACAGAAGGCGGUGAGGAGGGAGACAAACAGCCCAUCAGCUCCCCGUGGGACGUUGCACUUGGGACCUCAGGUUCAAAGGUCCAAAGAAAUGACAUCCUGUGGAUAGCCAUGGCAGGGACUCAUCAGAUAUGGGCCUUCCUCCUGGACUCUGGCACACUGCCAAAGAAAAGUGACCUAAAGAAAGGAACCUGCCUCCGUUUUGCUGGAAGUGGAAAUGAAGAGAACCGAAACAACGCAUAUCCUCACAAGGCGGGCUUCGCCCAGCCAUCAGGCCUCGCUCUCGCUCCAGAAGAGCCCUGGAGCUGCCUCUUUGUGGCUGACAGCGAGAGCAGCACUGUGAGGACUGUCUCGCUGAGAGACGGAGCCGUGAAACACCUCGUUGGCGGAGAGCGAGACCCCAUGAAUUUAUUUGCUUUUGGUGAUGUUGAUGGAGCAGGCAUCAGUGCGAAGCUUCAGCACCCACUUGGGGUUGCAUGGGAUGAGAAGAGGCAUCUGCUCUAUGUGGCCGACUCCUACAAUCACAAGAUUAAAGUUGUGGAUCCAAACACAAAAGUCUGUACAACGUUAGCAGGCACUGGAGAUGCGAAUGACGCCAGUUCCAGUUUUGCGGAGUCGGCCUUUAAUGAGCCGGGAGGCUUGUGUAUCGGUGAGCGUGGUCGGCUGCUCUAUGUAGCAGACACUAAUAAUCACCAGAUUAAAGUGAUGGAUUUAGAAGCAAGAACAGUUUCUGUGCUCCCUGUCUUCAAGUCUGACAGUGCUGUGGUAGACGGCUCCUUCCCUAGAGAGAAACAGAAGACAGUGCCCAAAGUGCCGAAGUCCGCCCCAAAUAUCAGCCUCCCCCCUGUGACAGUGCAUCCGGGCCAGGCUCUGCAGCUCGGGCUCCGGCUAGAGCUUCCGCCAGGAGCAAAGCUGACAGAAGGUGCCCCCAGCGGCUGGUUCCUGAAAGCUGAAGGCAAUGAAUGGCUUCUUCAGGAACAGAUCCCAUCUGGAGACAUAGAGAAUAUUUCCAAUCAGCCGGCAAUCUCCCUGCAGAUCCCUACUGAGUGCUUGUCCCUGGAGGCCGUGGUGUCUGUCACCGUGUUUCUUUAUUACUGCAGUGCUGACAGCAGUGCAUGUAUGAUGAAGGGAGUUGUGUUCAGGCAGCCUUUGCAGAUAAACAGUGUCCAGCCAGCGUGUGCAGCUCCUGUGGAGCUCACGUACGCAUUCUAGAGCGCUGGCCAGCAGCCAGCAGCACAGGCCUGUCAUCCUGCCACCUAUCAUUUACGGAAGAAGCGUUAUAGAAACCCAUUGCUCAGUUGUAACAACUGACACCACAAUAAAGCUGUCCUCCUUAUUAGUAUUUUAAUUGCAAACCAAUUCCUUCAUUUGAGCAGUGUGCUGUCCAAGUCAUUGACCAUCGUUUAAGCACGGCACUCUAAACUCUGCAGUUAUCUGACCCGAGGUGACACUCCAUGCUGUAUCAGAGGACAUUAUAUUUGUAGUCAAAACUAAUCAUGCCCGAUAUGUUAGAUAGCCUCUAUGCCUUUAUCAGAGAAAAAGCCAUUUCACGGAUAACUUUCCAGUGACUUGGGAUGGGCCUGAGCUCUGCACCUUGGUGUCAGGACACCUGCUUAGCCGGCACCAAGAGCGCACAUGCGGUAGAAGCUUCUCUCCUGUGACUUUUCUCACCUGAGAUUUUUUAAAAGAGAGUUUUAAUCUAUUUUUAUUAUAAAUUAUUUGUUUUCACAUUCCAUUAUUAAUGCCUUAUAACUUUAUAUAAAAAAAGAAAAAUAUAUAGGAUUUCUAAGGGCAUGCCGACCACCCCUUGACUAUGUAAUGAGCAUAUUCCUAGCAGGCAAAGCCUAGAUCCCCGUGCUGACUUAGGGGUGUCGGAGACUGCUGUGCUGCUGUGUGUGAUGGUUUAUUGUAAUGGUUGAGCGUGAGGUAAAUGAGUAUUGUGUUAUUUUGGAAAUUUACAUUUCAGUUUUAAGAGUUAAGUAGCAGAAUUGUUGGGUUUAAGACUUUUGUUAUUGUUUUGGUUUCCGUAUUUAGAAUUUAAAUUAUGAUCAUUCUGAUAUUUUUGAAAAAUCACAUAUAAACCUUCAAUUUGCUAUUGUCAAUGUAAAUAUUUUAAUUUAAUUGAUGGGUGUAGUUUUACUAAUAUACCUCCAUCUAAAAUAUUAGGGCUGAAACAGUGAUUUACUGAUACUGUUUUGAUAUUUGUUUUCUUUAACCCCAUAAGAAACAGCACUGGGAGGGAUAUUGGAGAGGUUUGGUUUUCAUUUACUGUAAUUAUCAGAGAUUAUUGUAACCAUUUAAAAGCCUUGUUUUUAUAAAACUGAGUUGACAUAGUUUUUACUAAGAUUACAGGAUUUCAGAAACAUUUGAGCCUUGCCUAUAAAUCAGUAAGUGUCUGUACACACUGCCUCCUGCCUUCCAUGGACGUUCUAGAUCGGGAGUAUAGUCAUUUAAGUACAGUCUACCUAUUUAUUGAUUGUUUUUUGAAGUAGUUUUUCAUAGGCAACAUUUGCUUGUUUUAUUAUUCAGUUAGCUAAAGAAAAAUCUGAAGUAAAAGCUUCAUGACUUUAAUUAGUAACAUGCAACUCUUUUCCAGGAGCAGGGCGGUUGUAAAGUGGAAGUGACCGCGUUGAGAGUCACACACGGUCACGUCAGAAACCUUUGUUUCUAGAACCAACCAGAGCAGAGGAUGUGCAGCUGUAGUGUACUGUGCUGGCCCGUGGUGGGGGAGGUGCCGUGGAGUAUGUCAGCCGUGUUUGCUUUGUAGUCCUCAUUUCCAGUUGGACAGGGACCCUGCUUGAGUCUUCAGUGACCGAGAGUACCUUGAGGAUGCACAAUGGCGCACCCCACACACCCGUGCCUCCACACUGCUGGCUACAUAGAAGGUGUUGGACCUAGAAAAUCCAUGGUGAGCCGAGUACAUGGUUUCCUAGAAUCAGGAGCGACACAAAUGUCUGACAAAAAGAAACCCUGCAGUGUUUAGUUGUAACGCUUCUGGAGCUGCAGCCACCUUCUGCUUUCUCUGAGAGCCUUUAGUUCUGUGACCUGUCUGCUUGGGACUCAUACCACUAAGAGAAGUUACUUGGGCCUGUUUCUGCAGUGUAGGAAAUCUGGGGGACAUAGUGAAAAUGUAUACCUAUAGCCUUUCCACAUAUACAGAAUUGACUUUUUAUCUAUUGGAAAGUCUGCAGCUUAGCUGUUGCCUUUGCCAUGGUGAUGUUUAAGACCAGUCACCAAAGACUUGAGUUGUUAACUCAUUUGGAAGAUGUUUUCUUUGGCAUGUGCAGGGGCCCUGGGUUCAGUCCUCCGGGGGAACAAUUAAGUCAUGAAAAGCUAAGUUUUGUAGUGAGCAGUGUUGUAAAGCCACGUGCAGGGACCGUGUCACUGAAGCUCUAAAUGAGGAAGCUCGUGCUGUCUCCUGAGCUCUGCCUCUGUGUUCUCAGUGCUCAGACUUUAGAGAGCAGUCUAAGCUUCUCAAACACAGUGAGAUGAUCUGAGUUGUAAGCACUAACUCAGAGCUUUUCUAGCACCACUUCUGUUAUCAAAGAUGGGGUCUGCUCUAGAGUCAGUGCUUCUGUUAACCAGCUUCCUUUACAGUUGGAGUUGGUGAGGACAGGGUAGUCACGGUGCUUCAUUGUGUAGCACGGUGUAGCGGCAGGAGUGUGGACUCUAGCUGGGUUCCACCCUGUAGAGCAGGGCUGCUGUCCCAAACCUGGGCUUGCUGCCAAGCUGCGGUGAAAUGCCCACACGGCAUUUAGCACAGAGUAAUUUAUGAACUGCAACUUAUCAGUUUAGUUACUAAUAAUGACAGUAAUUUAUGGCCACAGACAUGGACUUGACUUUUUUUUUUACAACUCCAAUUUCUAAAGCAAAAUAUUUCUCUACCAUUUGACAUGUUAGUAGUCCCCGUAGUAGCUCAAGAAGAAAAAGAACACUUUAUGGUAGAAUGUGUUAACCAUUUCAUAAACAGUAUUGUUUAUAAAGAGGUACCUCUCUACUGUGUUGAAGUAUUUAAAAAGACCUUCUGGAACUUCAGUGAAUAAGCUUUUUCAUAGAGGAUCCAGACAGCUGUGACACACCACACUCUUAACAACUGAUACAAGAAUCUUCAAAUUACAACCUGUGUAUCCGGGAUGGUUCCCCUACCCUGGGGCGGUGCUCUCUGCAGUCUUCAAAGUACUUGAGAAAAGUAUUACAGACUAGGUAGGAGUGUAUGUUCCAGAAGAAGAAGCUGCUUUGGCAUGUUGGUAGCCUGUCUGGAGGUCAGGAAGCCCUGGGAUAGUGUCCAGUACCUAGAACAGGACCUGGUACGCAGGGUUGCUGGUUGUCCUCGCUGACUAAAGUGCGACUAGUGAGCCACAGAGCUUGACCGAGGCUCUCCUACAAAAAAGUGGGAACCUACCCCAGGGCUUCAAGACAAGAGCAGGAUACUUACAUUUAUCGAGUCACCUGCCGGUGCUUUCCCAAGUACUUUGUGUGCUGACCACAUGCAGUCCUCACAGCAGCCUUAGGAUGGGGGAUGGUCCUUCUCCUGGAAGCCAGGCUUGAGCAGUUACCUCAGCAAUCAAAAGCGUGCCCUGAGGAGGUGACAGAGCCUAGACAGCCCAGGCAGUGCCCCACUGCCUGCUCUGUUGUCUCUCAGACAUUCUAGCUCACAUAGUUCAGACGUUUAUGCAGUGACUUAUCAGUCCAGAGGAUUCCAGGAACCCUGAGAAUGAUUGUGAAAUUCAUCUCAACUCAUUACAGCCAUUUGACUUACAUGACUUCUCCUAGAUGCUUAUCAUCUGGGCCUCGGAAUGGCAUAUAUAAUCAUUGGUUCCCAGAGGAUUGUCUGUGCCCUUAAUUUCAGGGACUGUCCAGUUUUUUCUUGGCAGGAAUAUGUGUAAACACCCCAGUCAGCUCAACGGGACUGUCCUGAAGAACAUGUUAUAAAGAGCACGGCUGGUGCAGGCCCCGAGGAGGCUGCCCAUACCUGACACAGUGCUUCGUGAGCCAGUGCCGAGUGGCAGAGCACAGUCUUCUGCCUUCCUUCGUCCCCAGUGGCUGUGUGCAGGCAUCCUAGUGACUCAGGUGUUGUUCCUGAAGUCAGUGUGGCAGUGUGAGACAAAAUGCUGUACCUAGGCCGUGGUGGUUUUUAGAAGCAUCCCAGUGCAGUGUCCAUCUGUUGUGAAGGAGUGUGGUCGUGAAGCAGCACUGCGGUCCACUGAGGAGCACAAAAGCCUGGGUCAGAAAUGCCAUCUGAACCUGACAGCAUGACAGCAUCACAUACUUAAUGUGGACCUCAGUGCUAAUCACCAAGAUUGCUUUUCCACCUGUGAAGAAUUAGCACUCACCCGAGUCACUCUUCCACCCUGGCUUAAUUCAGUUUGCUUUUCUCCAGUUUGUUUGCAAUAGGGUAACAGACAGAGUGAUCGUAAACGUUAGAGGCUUGGUAAUCAAGCCAUGUGGCAUUCUGUGGCUAAUCAACCUUGUCACCUGCUUGUGCUGACUUGUGUAGACUGGUGCCUCAGGUCUCGGGUGGCUACUGUGAGCACACAGGCUGGGCCGAGUAGGACACAGCCCUGCCUGCCAGCUCUCCUAGGUUAGCUUUUGCCAUAGUGAGGGGCUUGGUUUAAUCAUUGUCAGGGUUAGAGUUGAAAAGCUAAAACCCUGGUUGCUUGUGGAAUGUGCGGCCGGGUGUAGUUACUCAUUGUCUGCUGUGUCCUUUCCUCCCCUUGUGUGUCACUCCUGUGUGUGUGGACACAGCUUUCCGCAGCCUCCUGACCCACAGGAGAGUACUUUCCAAUACACUCCUCCCUGUGCCCAUCUCAGCCUGGGGUUAGAAAUGAACACUGAACCAACAGACUACACUCCUGUGUCUGGCCUGGCUCAGAAGUGGGUGUGACCAAAACGGCUGUUAAGUAUGGUGCUCACAGGUGGCUUCGUCUCAGCUUUCCUCACGAGAUAACAACAGGGAUGUGAAGAUCCACCCUGAGAUAUGGACAUUCUAAGGAGAGGUUUACCUCUCGGUACCUAGUUUCAUGAGAGAAUAUGUUGAGAUAAGUAAGAUAUAACAAUCAAUACAUCACACCAAUGGGGGUGAAAAUGCGUAAGUUCCUAACGUAGCCAUUCAGGUAUCUUCUAUUUUAAAGACUGCUUGUCUCUAUUUUUACUUCCACUAGAAACAUAAGGUAGUCUUGUUUGCGCAGAGUUGGAAUUUACUGUUGGCGCCUGCCUGUGAUGUCAUCAUUGAAAGCUACCUGCAGACAUGAGCCAGAGCCCCGCCCCACUCAGCACCAUGGCAGAAACAGCUGCAGCUCCUGCAGAGCCCUGGCUGAGGAGCUGGGGUCCUCGGGAACUACAGAUGGGGAGCUCGCUGCAGUGGUUGUUUUUCUAAAAUCCCUAGUAAUCUCUCAGUUUUCUAUAGCAAGGAACAGGACCUGUGUGAAGUAAGGCUUCCUCGUUGUAUGCAGGCUGAUAGAGCUCUAGGUCCUCUGUAGGAGACACGGUUACUGUCAUUACUCGUGUCCGUCUGUCUGUCACUCCUUCAGGGUGUGCCCUAUAAAAUCAUGUUAGGGACUCUUCCCAUCUUGUGUGGUAAAUCAUGUAAUUUAAUCUGUGAGUCUAAGGUGAUCCGCCAUGACGACUUUGUGCCUGAACAGUGCCGUGAAAAUCCAGUAUAAGAGUUAGUCCUGAAAGGACUUACUAGCGAUGCAUUCUAGAGUGUUUGUAGAUGGAGUAAUAUAUUUUUAUGCAGUGUAUUUUACACUUAUUUCCAGACCAAACUCUGGAGUGGCUUCUUUUUCAAGUGCAUGACCGGGGGAUAAGACCUGUGGGCUUCGCAUCUCAGGAGGAGUGUGGAGCGGAGGGUCUGGGAAACGCGAGUGUCCACUGUACUUGCAAAUCUAAAGCUCUCCCAAGGCUUUGUACACUCUUUUUCAUGAAAUAGAUUAAAUAUUUUUCUCCAAA